rnacentral:lncRNA from 1 species
ACGAGGAAUGGAUAAGAAAUAAUGCUCGAGCAAAUGAAAGGAAUAGGCGGAAUGACAGGCCUCGUAAUUUUGAUAGAUCAAGGAACUUCGAAAGAAGAAGGGAAAAUAUGCAGAACAGAGAUUUUCAAGCUCCUAUGCAAAACUCACCUCCCAACAUGGGUGGAGGGCCUCCUCCAAACAUGGGUGGAGGGCCACCUCCAAACAUGGGUGGAGGGCCGCCUCCGAACAUGGGCAUGGGUGGAGGACCACCGUCGAACAACUUUGGAGGGCCGCAGAACAACUUUCGAGGAGGGCCACCCAACAACUAUGGAGGAGCACCACCAAGCAACUAUGGAGGGGGAGCGCCACCAAGCAACUAUGGAGGGGGAACACCACCAGGCAACUAUGGAGGAGGAGCGCCACCAAGCAAUUAUGGAGGAGGAGCACCACCAAGCAACAUUGGGGGAGGAGCGCCACCAAGCAACUAUGGGGGAGGUGCGCCACCAAGUAACUAUGGGGGAGGAGCCCCACCAAGCAACUAUGGGGGAGGAGCACCACCAAACAACUAUGGUGGAGGUAUGCCACAGAGCAAUUUUGGAGGGGGAAUGCCACCUAACAACG